ensembl:lncRNA
CAUCUACUGAACCCGGAAAAUCCCUUUAAAUAUGAUUAACAAUUAACUUUUUAUCUGAAGCACUAUAAAUCAAGCACAAAAGACAGUAAAUCAGGACACUAUAAAAAGAGCAUGAGGGUCUGUGGGGAUGACCGAGCAAGAGCUGAACAUCAGUGAAGAAUGAAGGGUUUGUUAUGUACACUGCUGCUGCUGGAAACCUUUGUGUUUGUGGUACAGCAGCAGGUAGAUGGAGGACUCGCUGAGAAUGAGAUCAGUCAACAGCUCAGCACUGAGGACAGAAGACAGUAUCCAGCUCAGACAGACCCUCGGAGAGAUGAAACUGACAGCCAACAAUACUGCCAUCUGAGCUUCCCUGACAUCCACGCAGCACUGAGAGAACUGACCGCCACCGUCACAGAGCAGAAAGCCAACAUCAGAGCCUUAGAGACGCAACUGAGAGAAGAACUGAACAAGAAAACUGAUGAAAUGUCUAAUCUUACUGAGAGUCAAGUGGAGGAGCUGAGAAAGGAAAAUAGAGGUGAAACAAUGUGUUUGAAUUGUAUUAAAUUCAAUGUUUACAUCCUCAGUGUAAAAUGGUAAUAUAUCACAAUAUUGCUUAUGUUUUUCAAUCACAGACAGAGAGAUAGCAUUUUCAGCUGCACUGAUGGAAUCUG